rnacentral:tRNA from 1 species
AAUUAGAAAGUGAAAGUCACAUUUGGUUUCGGCCCAAAAACUCGGUUAAGCAACCUCUAAUUU